UAAGAACAGAUCAAUGUGUAUUCUUCUACAUGCUUACUGCCAGUUGAACCAGCACCAUUUGUUGAAAAUGCUUUUUUCCAUUGGAUGGUUUUAGCUCCUUUGUCAAAGAUCAAGUAACCAUAGGUAGGUGGGUUUCAUUUCUGGAUCUUCAAUUCUAUUCCAUUGAUCUUCCUGCCCAUCACUGUACCAUUACUAUGCAGUUUUAAAUCACAAUUGCUCUGCAGUACAGCUUGAGAUCAGGGAUGGUGAUUCCCCCCAGAAGUUCUUUUAUUGUCGAGAAUAAUUUUCAUUAUUCUGGGUUUUUGGUUAUUCCAAAUGCAUUUGAAAUUGCUCUAACUCUAUGAAGAAUUGAGUGGGAAUUUUAUGGGGAUUCCAUUGAGUCUGUAGACUGCUUUCAGCAAGAUGUCCCUUGUUACUAAAUUAAUGUUGCCAAUCAUGAGCAUGAAAGAUUUUUCCAUCUUCUUCAAUUUCUUUCUUCAGGGAUUUAAAGUUUUGCCAUACAGAUCUUUCACUUGCUUGGUUAGUGUCACACCAACAUAUUUUAUAUUACUUGUAACUAUUGUGAAGGGUGUCGUUUCCCUAAUUUCUUUCUCAGCCUGUUUAUCCUUUGAGUAGAGGAAGGCUACUGAUUUGUUUGAGUUAAUUUUAUAAUCCAGCCACUUUGUUGAAGUUGUUUAUCGGGUUUAGGAGAUCUCUGGUAGAAUUUUAGGGAUCACUUAACUAUACGAUCAUAUCAUCUGCAAAUAGUGAUAUUUUGACAUCUUCCUUUUCAAUUUGUGUCCCUUUGGUUUUGGUUUUUGAUUCAAGAACAAAGAAUGCACUAAGUACAAUGCAAGCCUUAUAGAAUUAGUCAGUGGUUAAGUGAUCAGGGAGAUGGCUCAGUGGGCAAAGACACUUGUUGACUAGAGUUUAAUCCUAGGAAUUUACAUAAAAUUACAAAGAAAGAAGCAGCUCUUCAAAGUUGCUCUCUGACCUCCAGUUUUAUGCCCCGCACAAGUCUCCAUAUACACACUUAAUGCACUUGUGCACACACAGGCACACACACACACACAUACACACACACUAAUAAAUAUUUUAGUUAUUUUUGUGAGAUAAUAUCAAUAAGAAUAAUAUUUCACCUGACUUUAAUUUUUGGCAGUAGAAUAUUUUGCAAAGUAGACCAAAAAUUUAAUUAAGAAGGGUGCUAUCUAGAGGACUGAUGUCCUCAAAAUAGUGGUAAGGCUUGCAGGAGCUGACCAUCAUGUUAGCAAGAAUCCAGCUAAUUUUCACUAUAAAUACCAUGCUAUUUUAGAAGACACUACACAUAUAGCAUUGCUUCACACAUAAAAUUAUGUGGCAUAAUAUAGCUAAGAUGUACUGAUAUUGAAUAACCAUAUUAACUGAUAGCUGGGAUUACCAGGUUUAGAAAAACAUUUAAAAGUUAUAGAAAUAAAGUAUGAAUUGUUGGUGACGAUAAAGUAUGAAUUGUUGGUGACGAUAAAGCCAGAAGGUUCCUAUUUGAAUGAAGUAAUUCAUUCUUAUUUCUCUUUCAUCCCUGUUUUUCCCAUUGUGAAUUAAAUUUUUAUUAGUUUUAAAUGUUUUCCUCACUUAUUUUUUUCAAAAGAUUUACUCAUUUUAUGUAUGUGAGUACAUAUGUGGUAUUCACUUCAGACACACCAGUUCCCAUUACAGAGGUUAUAAGACACUAUGUGGUUGCUGGGAAUUGAACUCAGACCCUCUAGAAGAACAGUCAGUGCGCUUAACCUCUGAGCCAUCCCUCCAGCCCUCAGGUCCUCACUUCUAUUCCAGUGUCUUUAGGAGAUUUUACUGUUUCUUGUUGCCUUCUUUCGAAUGACUUGUCUAUAUUUAAUUUUUAAAAGUAUUUUCUAAAAGAAUAAUUCAUUUUUUUCUUGGCAAUUUACUUCUUUUUAUUAUUUUAAGUAUGUCUGUUAAUGAAAUGCAUCAUUUUUCUUUCUUCAUAACUAUGUGAGUUUGCAUUUUGAAUAAGUUCUUAUCUUAUAUUUUUCUUUAAAAUAUUACUCUCUCUUUGACACUUUUCUUACCACGAUUUGUUGGCUAUCUCUACUGAAGGGUACACGGGCUGCUCUAUGUAACCAAGGCAUCCAAAGUCACACUAAAGUAAAGAGACCGCCACAAGCCUCAAGCCACAUGGUCCUCAAAUGAGACAUCUCUAAUGAGGCAUGUGUUUCCACAAAUGGGGACCAUUCUCAGUUUUCAGUUUAAAUGUUUAAAAAUUUUAAGUUAAAAAUCCAAACUUUUUCUUUCUAUCCUAAUGGUUAUUUCUGGAUAGAGAAAGUAGAAGUUCAAACUAAAAUCUAUAGAUUUUUGCCCAUAAUAUUGCUUGAAAACAUUAAUAUUGAAGGAUAUUUGACAGCUUCAGAUAUUUCAUAAGCAACCUUAUGGAACAGGUCAUCAUGCUUAAAAUUACAGUUAUUUGUUUACUUAGCUAGUAUCUGUGUGUGCGUGUGUGUACCUGUGUGUUUGUUUAAGAGAGAGAGAGAGAGAGAGAGAGAGAGAGAGAGAGAGAGAAGCAAAGAUCUAUGUGCUCGGCAGGAUUAUCAAGCACUGCACACUGGUGCCUUGGUCACAGACAGAUUGCAACUCAAAGCUGGCUCCAUGAGUGGAGCUUAGAAGUCCCAAUACUUAUUCAUGUAUCCAUCCUAAACUCAUGGCACAACACAGGACAUGUGAGGUAAUGGUGGCAUCCACAGACAUCUUCUGCUGCCAGUCCCAUAGAUCAUGGCAGCCUUUCAAUUAUGCUUGUAUCAUAACACUCGAUGAUGAUAACAGCAGCUCUGUCAAGAGUUUGUGGAUUUUCUAUAAUAUUCUUUUUAAUCAUAUUUUAGAGUAUAUUUCUACUAAUAAAGAUGUUUAAGGUAAUAAAAGAGCAGGCCACACUGUGCUGAUAGCAGCUUCAUACGUCUCGUGAAUAUUGGACUCUUUGAUGCAUUAAUGUUGAGUGAUUUGUCUAUACUACGUAAGUCCAUUUAAGUAUUCUAUUAUGUUUCCACAUUAAAAUCAUCUACUGAUUUUUUUCUCAAUAUAUACUCAUGCUUUUAAGUGACAUAAGGCUGUAAAUAGUUCAGUUCACUUCCAAAUAUCAGAUCAUAAGUAUUAUCUACACAUCAAAUAAGUAGAAUCAGCACUAGAAUUGAUAGAAUAAAAUCAGAGAUGGUGGUGCAAGACCACAAUCCAAACAAUUAGGAAAGUAUAACAUGAUAAUUGCAAUUUCAAAGCCAGUAUGAGCCAUGGAGCAAGUUCCACUCCACCUUUGGUGCAUGCUGAGAUCCAAACUCAACAGUCAUAAACAAACCAAAAGAUAGGGUUUAUAG
rnacentral:lncRNA from 1 species